rnacentral:lncRNA from 1 species
CGAAAAGUGAAGCAGAGAUUAAAUAAAAAGUAGGAGGCAGCUAUUAGAGAUGAAGAAAUACAUGCAAGAUUGCACUUCACUGAGAGCAAUGUGGAAAUGUGUGUAGCUGAUCGUGUUUCAUGUGAGGAUGCAGGAACGUGAAUAGUGGUAGGUCAGCAGGAAACAGCAAUUGUAAGAGAUGGCAACAAGAUAAAACAGCUAAUGGAGGUGAAAAGUGGCAGUCAGUCAGCACUGAGAGGCUCAUAACGGUCAGGUGAGAGACAUGGGGCAUCACUAAGCCUGUCUUUCAGACGUGUGUAAAUGCUUAAUUUCUAACCUGAUAAAUGUUUAGCUAAUCAACAUGCAAUGGUGCUAUUUGCAAAUCUUUUGAGCUAGGGGACUUGCAUCACUGUGAAAUGUGGGCCAAUAAUCAUAGAACUUCCUGGACUCACAAUUUUAUGGUUGCUAGAAUGGAAUACUGUUGAAUCUGAUAUUGGAGUGAUAUAUGAUUCCUGCCAUGAAUGGCCACCGAAGUUACUUUUCUUGUUAAAUAGGGUUCAGAAUGACCCCUUGAAUUUGUGUUUGUUUUUGUU